rnacentral:rRNA from 1 species
UACGUAGGUGGCGAGCGUUGUCCGGAUUUACUGGGCGUAAAGAGCGCGUAGGCGGCUGGUCAAGUCCGAUGUGAAAGCUCCCGGCUUAACUGGGAAAUUGCAUCGGAAACUGAUCGGCUGGAAGGUGGGAGAGGGUAGCGGAAUUCCCGGUGUAGUGGUGAAAUGCGUAGAUAUCGGGAGGAACACCAGUGGCGAAAGCGGCUACCUGGCCCAUUCUUGACGCUGAGGCGCGAAAGCUAGGGGAGCAAACGGG